GACGAACGCUGGCGGCGUGCUUAACACAUGCAAGUCGAACGAUGAAGCCGGAGCUUGCUCUGGUGAAUUAGUGGCGAACGGGUGAGUAACACGUGAGUAACCUGCCCUUGACUCUGGGAUAACUGCGGGAAACUGUAGCUAAUACCGGAUACGACCCUCGGAGGCAUCUCCUGGGGGUGGAAAGAAUUUCGGUCAAGGAUGGACUCGGGGCCUAUCAGCUAGUUGGUGAGGUAAAGGCGCACCAAGGCGACGACGGGUAGCCGGCCUGAGAGGGUGACCGGCCACACUGGGACUGAGACACGGCCCAGACUCCUACGGGAGGCAGCAGUGGGGAAUAUUGCACAAUGGGCGCAAGCCUGAUGCAGCAACGCCGCGUGAGGGAUGACGGCCUUCGGGUUGUAAACCUCUUUUAGUAGGGAAGAAGCGAAAGUGACGGUACCUGCAGAAAAAGCACCGGCUAACUACGUGUCAGCAGCCGCAGUAA
rnacentral:rRNA from 1 species